UAGGAGGAAAUGACGUCAGGGGCUGGGCUCUGAUUGGGGAGCGCCUGCUGGGAGCGGAAACCGGUGUUUCGCCGCCCAGAACAUUUGCAGCUGAUCACUCCAGCCUCCGGGGACUGAGAUUUGCCUUAGCCGGCUCGCUUCUGCUGAGGGUUGUCUUGAGAUGUCGCUCGGCCGCUUUUUACCAGGAGCUUAACCUGUCUUGCCCGCCGCCCGGAUGGGACCGCCGGAGUGCUCUAACGUCUCCAGGGAAUAUUGAAUUGCUGAGGAAUUUGGAAAAAGACAAACCACAGUUCUCGUUCCAUGGAUCCCUUGGGUGCCCCUUCCCAGUUUGUAGAUGUGGAUACACUAACAAGCUGGGGGGACUCGUGUGAAGAUGAAUUAAAUUCUUCUGCUACUACAGCUGAAAUAUUUCAUGAAGACACUAUUAGAUCACCUUUUCGUUAUAAUAAGGAUGUCAAUGGAAAAGUGGUUCUUUGGAAAGGAGACGUGGCAUUACUGAACUGUACAGCUAUUGUGAAUACCAGCAAUGAAAGUCUCACAGAUAAGAAUCCUGUGUCAGAAAGGAUCUUCAUGCUUGCAGGGCCUGAUUUGAAAGAAGAUCUCCAAAAACUGAAAGGUUGCCGAACAGGUGAAGCGAAGUUGACCAAAGGGUUUAAUCUGGCUGCCCGGUUCAUCAUUCACACAGUGGGACCUAAAUACAAGAGCCGCUAUCGCACAGCAGCUGAGAGUUCCCUGUACAGCUGCUACAGAAAUGUGCUUCAGCUGGCAAAAGAGCAAUCAAUGUCUUCUGUUGGGUUCUGCGUCAUUAAUUCUGCAAAACGAGGCUAUCCUUUAGAGGAUGCAACACACAUCGCACUUCGCACUGUAAGGAGAUUCUUAGAGAUUCAUGGGGAAACCAUUGAAAAAGUAGUAUUUGCUGUUACUGAUCUUGAAGAGGCUACUUACCAAAAGCUACUACCUCUGUACUUCCCAAGGUCCGUAAAGGAGGAGCACAGGUCAUUGCCAUACCUGCCUGCCGACAUUGGAAACGCAGAAGGGGAGCCCGUGGUGCCUGAACGGCAGAUCAGAAUAAGUGAAAAACCUGGUGCUCCAGAGGACGACCAUGAAGAAGAGGAUGAAGGCUUAGGAGUUGAUCUCUCUUUCAUUGGCUCUCAUGCUUUUGCUCGAAUGGAAGGAGAUAUUGAUAAGCAAAGAAAAUUGAUCCUUCAGGGACAAUUAUCAGAGGCAGCCCUGCAGAAGCAGCAUCAAAGAAAUUAUAAUCGCUGGUUAUGUCAAGCACGAUCCGAGGAUCUGUCCGAUAUUGCUUCUCUAAAAGCCUUAUACCAAACAGGUGUUGAUAACUGUGGUCGAACAGUGAUGGUGGUAGUUGGAAGAAACAUUCCUGUAACAUUAAUAGAUAUGGACAAGGCUCUUUUGUAUUUUAUCCACGUCAUGGAUCACAUUGCUGUGAAGGAAUACGUCUUAGUAUAUUUUCACACACUGACCAGCGAGUACAAUCACCUGGACUCUGACUUCCUGAAGAAACUCUACGAUGUCGUUGAUGUCAAGUAUAAAAGGAAUUUGAAGGCUGUUUAUUUUGUUCAUCCAACAUUUCGUUCAAAGGUGUCAACAUGGUUUUUCACCACCUUUUCUGUCUCAGGACUGAAGGACAAAAUCCACCAUGUAGACAGCCUCCACCAGCUAUUUUCUGCCAUAUCACCAGAACAGAUCGACUUCCCUCCUUUUGUCCUUGAAUAUGAUGCCAGGGUAAGAAGUAUCAGGAGUUCUCACUCACCCAGUGUACAGUAUUAACUAUUCUGUGGAGCAGUGCUGUGAGCACAAAACGCUGUCAGUGCAAGAUAAUGUGCAUGUAAAUCAGUGUGUUUCAGUGAACUUGAUAAUGUCAUUUAACAUUCUUUUUCUAUGGUGACUUUAGGAAAAAGAUUUACCCCAAGAAAAAUAUUUUCUCCAGAUAAAUGUUUCAGUAAGAGAUUUUCCUGCUGUGAAUUUGAAGCCAAUCUUUCGUGGUUGUGCUGUCAGUUUUCUACCACAUUUGAGACACACACUUCUGCCUGAUGUCCUUAGGACUGAAUGGUACAUAAAUCUCUUCUGCAUAAAGUCAGAAAUCUAUUGGUGUCCACCUUCAACAUUAAUUGUGAAUCAGGGAGCCUAUCUUAAUAGUCUUUACCCUGCUAAAAGUUUCAUUUUUCUAAAAGUUUGUAUAAUGUUCUUAAGAAUAUCAACUAUUAGUAUAUUUAUUAUUUAUGGAUCUAUUAAGCAUUAAUCAAAGGAUACUCUUGAAUUUCAUCAAAAUUCUGUUCCAUUAUGUUUAUUCAUGGUACCACCUCAGUAGUUUUUUUAGUGACAAACUUAGCCAGAAGCUCAUCAAGCUCAUUGUUUAACUGUGGCAAUUACAUAUCUUUAUGCACAAAUCAGGGAAUAUAUUUGAAAGUUAUAUUAAGUUUGAAAUGAAUUACUCUUCCCUAAUUAUUGUGCAACAUGUAUACCGUAAAAUAAAAAUCCU